rnacentral:rRNA from 1 species
CUGCUGCCUCCCGUAGGAGUCUGGUCCGUGUCUCAGUACCAGUGUGGGGGACCUUCCUCUCAGAACCCCUACGCAUCGUCGCCUCGGUGGGCCGUUACCCCGCCUACUGCCUAAUGCGCCGCAUGCCCAUCCCUGUCCGGCCGAAGCCUUUUCCUGCCUCCGGGAUGCCCCGGUGGCAUGUACGCGGGUUUAGCCCGCCUUUCGGCGGGUUGUCCCCCUGACAGGGGCAGGUUGCAUACGUGUUACUCACCCGUGCGCCGGUCGCCGGCGGAGAAA